UACGUAGGGGGCAAGCGUUGUCCGGAAUCAUUGGGCGUAAAGAGCGUGUAGGUGGCUCGGUAAGUCCGCUGUGAAAGUCCAAGGCUCAACCCUGGAAAGCCGGUGGAAACUGUCGAGCUCGAGUCCGGAAGAGGCGAGUGGAAUUCCUGGUGUAGCGGUGAAAUGCGCAGAUAUCAGGAGGAACACCAAUGGCGAAGGCAGCUCGCUGGGACGGUACUGACACUGAGACGCGAAAGCGUGGGGAGCAAACAGG
rnacentral:rRNA from 1 species